UACGAAGGGGGCUAGCGUUGUUCGGAAUGACUGGGCGUAAAGGGCGCGUAGGCGGUUCGUUAAGUCCUGUGUGAAAUCCCCCGGCUCAACUGGGGAACUGCACAGGAAACUAGCGGGCUUGAGUUCGGGAGAGGGAAGCGGAAUUCCGGGUGUAGCGGUGAAAUGCGUAGAUAUCCGGAGGAACACCGGUGGCGAAGGCGGCUUCCUGGACCGACACUGACGCUGAGGCGCGAAAGCUAGGGGAGCAAACGGG
rnacentral:rRNA from 1 species